UACCAUACUAUCGAAGAGACUCAUAUAAUCUCAUUAACAAAUGGUAUGAGAGUAUCUACAUGGUCGCCUAAGACGUAACUAUGAGUGUCUGAUGCAAGCUU
rnacentral:ncRNA from 2 species